UACAGAGGGGGCAAGCGUUGUUCGGAAUUACUGGGCGUAAAGGGCGCGUAGGCGGCCUGCUAAGUCGAACGUGAAAUCCCCGGGCUCAACCCGGGAACUGCGUCCGAUACUGGCAGGCUUGAAUUCGGGAGAGGGAUGUGGAAUUCCAGGUGUAGCGGUGAAACGCGUAGAUAUCUGGAGGAACACCGGUGGCGAAGGCGGCAUCCUGGACCGAUAUUGACGCUGAUGCGCGAAAGCCAGGGGAGCAAACGGG
rnacentral:rRNA from 1 species